UCCUAUUAAUUCUCCUUUUUUUAUAAAGAAAUGGUAAGAAAAAGCAACCGAGAAAACAAAAUAAAAAGGCAGAGAAAUAAAAGACGUCGUGACUUCGAACCUCUUCCUUGUACUCUCUAUUUUUGGUCAAUGAUAAUCUUCAUCUACCGAAGAAAUCGAUUUCUCCAUAGCUUCUGGUUCUGGAUUUCAAGCUUCAACAAAUAUCCGAUAUUACUUCUCGAUUUCUAGCUUCAACAAAUAUCGACGGCUUUGGUGUCGAUCUCCUUAUCCCCGAUUUCUUUGUGUUUCGAUUUUGCAAAACUAAUUCAAGUCAUAGAAGUUGAAGUUCUUAACUUAGACGGUGGGCAAAAUACGAGUAGAUUCGGUUGGGAUACAACUAAAUGAUGCGUUACUGCUAAUGCUGAAGUUAAGGCGAUUGAUAUAUUUAGCAAAUAUCAAUUCCACACCCGAUCAUUUUUUAAGAUGACGGAGUUGUUACGUGAAAAUAAUUGCGGAUGGCUCAAUAGCAUGAUUAGACUAUUUUAAGUUCUGCUUUUUUAGUUGUUACGAAUACUAAAUUUGACUUAUUGCACAUUCAUUUUUGGGCAUAAUUUUUAAGUAUUAUGAUUUUCAUA